AUCUUAUUCACGUUCCGUAUGUGAAGUACUUUCUCUUCUCUCAUAAAUCUUCUACUUCUUAUUAGUCACACUUUUACAACGAUUGUAAAACAUAGUCACUAAUACGGAAUCAUGCAUUCAAGUAGAAGAACCAACUGUUUUGAACUAUUCAAGAACAAUUUACAAUACCUUCGAAAGGUGUGUCCUUGACACUUGCAAGACAUUUCUUGCAAAUACCCCUUCCAAUGUCCAUCCUUUCAUAAAGAAAGUUUGUUCCCUUGGAGUUAUUUAUCUUCUUUAUUUGACUUUCACCUUUGACUACAUUAGUCAUGGUCCCUAAACUCCCACUAUCUCUCUUGAAACCUUUUUCAAUUGUGCUAUACACAUCAAACAAUUUUGGAGAGCAUGUGGUUUAUUUUUCACUACAUAGUUUACAAUAAACUUAGUGAACGAUUAGGAUAGGGAAACAAAGGUGAAGUCCUUGCCUAGUUUCCGUCUCGUUAAGUGGUUUAUCACUUCAACACUCAAUGAUUCAAAAUCAUCAUAAGUCCAUGUUAAUGGACUAUUUUUGUCAACCAACCAUUAUGUUCUAAACAUAAUUACAAACUUUAAAGAGUUGUACAAGGCAACUCUCAAUUUCUUCAUACAACAAUUUGUAAGUGAAGAAUCAUGUCACAUAAAGUGUCCAUGCCUUUGUGCUUUCUUCUCAAGUUCUUUGUUCAUUUAACAAAGAAACAAGUACUAAGUGUUUGCAUUGACUAAGGGUUGUUCAAAGCAACUCCUAUUUCUUCAUACAACAAUUUG
rnacentral:lncRNA from 1 species